UACAGAGGGGGCAAGCGUUAUUCGGAAUUAUUGGGCGUAAAGGGCGCGUAGGCGGCUUGGCAAGUGGAUGGUGAAAUCCCUCGGCUUAACCGAGGAACUGCCGUCCAAACUGCUUCGCUUGAGACCGGGAGAGGUGAGUGGAAUUCCCAGUGUAGCGGUGAAAUGCGUAGAUAUUGGGAGGAACACCAGUGGCGAAGGCGGCACGCUGGACCGUUACUGACGCUGAGUGCGAA
rnacentral:rRNA from 1 species